CAAGCCAUCUCUUAUAUUAAGAAAUUUAAAAAAGAAAAGGAAGGAACAAAAGUAGAAGGGAAAAAGCAAUUCAACAAAACUCUACAUCAUGGAGGAGUGAGGAGCCUCUGACCACCAGCUAUAUAAUGUCUGUGAACUCAAUUGAAUAAUCAACCUGAAAAGAUGAUGAGCUAAAAACUAAGACUGAAUCUCAGAAGCAUGAAGAAUUUGCAGUGCAAAUAGUAGCUGGAUAAAGACCACCCUUAUUCUUUGAUGGAAGACCACCCUGGAGAGAAGACAAUGGACAAGCUUAGCAAUGGUCAUGGGUGAAGUUCACUUUCAUUUCCUCCAUCCAGUGCCCAUCUCCAGGACUGUGCCUUUCAGGUGGGCUGCUAACAACAGAUGACGUAUGCUGCAGGGAGCUAAAUGUCAGAUAGAAACAAUUUAGAAAUUUCAUCUUCUCACAGUGAUGGCAAGGAUUUAUGACUAUUCGAGACUUUAUUACUACUCAUCAGCCUCCUACUUAACCUGCCUUUAUCUCUUUCUCCACAUUUCAUCCACAUAGAGAUGGAGUUAAGUUAAAUGACUGGGACAGCUGGGGCAGAGAUAAAAGCAACACAGAAGAACAGUUUAAUGUGUUGGAAAAAAUCAUUAGGGGAGAGAAUGUGGAAAGGAAAGGGAAAAUGAUUUAUAUAGCAUUUAUAUAGUACCUACUAUGUGCUAUGCAUUGUGCUUAGCACUUUGGGAAUAUCAUCUGACCCCCAAAACAAUUUAAAGUAGAUGCUAUUAUGAUCACCCCUUUAGUACUGAGUCAAGCAGAAGUUGGGUAACAUGUUCAGGUCAAGUAAGUAAGUAAGAGUCUAAUGCUUAAUGUCACAUUUGAACUCGGGUCUUCCUCAUUCCAGGCCCAGCACUACCACCAACCAAGAAUCAGAAGAACAACACUUCACAAUGGCCCAUAAUCCAUCUGUAGUCUAUCUCAUUUUCAGCGACAACCUUCUCUAUAUUGGAAUAUAUAUCAGAUCCAAAGAUUUUCCUGAUUCCCUUAAUUUUAGUACUUUCUAUUGAUUAUUUCCAAUUUAUCCUGUACAUAGCUUGUUUAUACCUACUUUUUUACAUAUUGUCUUCCUCAUUAGAUGCUGAGCACUUGCAAGGGAGACUGUCCUUACCUUUUUUUGUAUUUCCCAUAAGUGCCUGGCACUUAGUGACUGAGAAAACAAUCCAUCCUUCCACCCAUUGUUAUGUCAAAAAACAGUGUCUUUAAAAUAGUGAAAAGAGCUCUUUUUUUAAGGGGAAACAUCUUAUUACUAUAUUUAUUUGUUUUUAGUAAUUUAGACAAACUUUCGUCAUCACCACCACCACCAAGGUCUAAUAUAUGAAAAAACUUGAAGGCUAAGAGUGAAAACCUAAAAAAGUUAAAAACAAAACAAAACCAAAAAAAAGCAAAAAAAAACAAAAACAAAAACAAAAAAAACUAGACCCUCAAGAUAAAAUGGAGGGGAGGGGAGUGAAUGAGAGGAAACGAGGAAGAAAUAAAUGUGACAAAUGAAAGGAAAAGAGCAAAAAGAUAUUGGUACAGAAAGACAUAGGGUAAAAAAAAGGGCAGAGAGAUUAAGGAGCAUGUUGGAAAAAGAAGGGAAUGUAGCCUAGAUAAAGAAUGGCAACAGGAGAAGGGAAAGAGUAAUCACUGAACUAGGGAACCAUAUCAUAUGUCUAAGUUAACAUAAAAUUUUGAAGUUGACAUCCAAAAUUAGAAAACUCCUCUAUUCCUCUCUUUUAUAUCUUCCACAUUCUCUUCCUUGAGCGAAUUAUUUUUCAAUCUUUGAAGCUUCUAGUUAGUCUAGGUAUAAUCUAAUACUUGGUUUUUUCUUCAAGGCUCUGCUGAUACUAAAAAAGUUAUUUCUCUAAACAUCUCCCACACCUACUGAGAGUUUCAGUUCACAUCUUUAAAAUUUUUAUUUUAACAUUUCCUUUUUUGCCAGGCAAAACUCUAAAGAUGUCAUCUAGGCAGGACAGCAGCAGAAACAGUGAUUAUUGGAAUAAUUUCAUGGAGCUCGCAAACAUUAUAUAGUUCACAGUCCCAAAAAAAGCCAUGGCAGACCUCCUUUCCUGCUCUCCACUCUUCCAUUUUAUUAUUCAGUUUUUCUUCUAUAUACUAAGGGUGUUACCUCUAACUACAUUGUGUCUCAUAUUGAAUUGAACUGCUCCAUUUUUCCUUCCUAUUUCCUAAGCACUUAGUACCUAUUUCUCCAUUUCUAUUCUACAAUCUUGCUUCAUUG